UACGUAGGCAGCGAGCGUUGUUCGGAAUUACUGGGCGUAAAGAGUGUGUAGGCGGUGAUCUAAGUUUGGUGUGAAAUCUCCCGGCUCAACUGGGAGGGUGCAUCGAAUACUGGAAUGCUAGAGGGUGGGAGAGGUAAGCGGAAUUCCUGGUGUAGCGGUGAAAUGCGUAGAUAUCAGGAGGAACACCUGUGGUGUAGACAGCUUACUGGACCACUUCUGACGCUGAGACACGAAAGCGUGGGUAGCAAACAGG
rnacentral:rRNA from 1 species